UUCAUCGAGUUUUCCAUUGAAGACUGUGAAUUCUGCUCGUCGGAAGCAUCUGAGGGAAAAGCAAGAUGACAGAAGCUGUUUUCAGACACGGGCGAUACGGAGCCAGAUGAACCACUUACUAAAAAUACCUGGAACUGGGUGUAGCCCGACAAGAAUCGAAAACAAGUCUUCAAGCUGAUGUUUGCAAACAAACAUUCACAGGAACAUCACUCACGAUGGCCCAAAGAUGGAACCGGGCCAAAUGUCCAUUAACAGAUAGGCAGAUAAACAGAAUGUGGUCCACCCACACAACGGAGUAUUAUUCAGCCAUGAAAAAGAAUGAAGCGCUGACACAGGCUACUAUGUGGAUGAACCUUGAAACAAAGAUGCUGAGUGAAAGAUGUCCGUCAACAAAAGACACAGGUUACAUGACUCCAUUUCUAUGAAAGGACCAGGAAAGACAAAUCCAUAGAGACAGAAAAUACAGAUUGGUGGAGGCCAGGGAUAAGAGGAAUGGGAAAUGACAGCUGAAGGGUACAGGGUUUCCUGUUAAGAGUGUUGAGAACAGUUUGGAACUAGACAGAGGUGGCGACUGCACAGCAUUAUGAAUGUGCUAAAUGGUACUGAAUUGCUCACUUUAAAAUGGUGCCUUGCAUGCUAUGGGAAUUUCAUCUCAAUUUAAAAGAAAAAUAAAUCCAUGUUAACCUUA